rnacentral:rRNA from 1 species
CCUCCGGGAGGCAGCAGUGAGGAAUAUUGGUCAAUGGGCGCAAGCCUGAACGAGCAAUGCCGCGUGAACGAGGAAGGUCUUCGGAUCGUAAAGUUCUGUUGAAGGGGAAAAAGAGCGGAGAGAGGAAAUGGUCUCCGAUUGAUAUUACCCUUCGAGGAAGUCACGGCUAACUACGUGCCAGCAGCCGCGGUAAUACGUGAGUGGCGAGCGUUAUCCGGAAUGAUUGGGCGUAAGGGGUGCGUAGGCGGCCUGCUAAGUCUGGAGUGAAAGGUACCGGCUCAACCGGUAUAGGCUCUGGAAACGGGCGGGCUAGAGAGAAGGAGAGGGCGGUGGAACUCCAUGUGUAGCGGUAAAAUGCGUAGAUAUAUGGAAGAACACCAGUGGCGAAGGCGGCCGCCUGGCCUGUUACUGACGCUGAGGCACGAAAGCGUGGGGAGCAAAUAGGAUUAGAUACCCCAGUAGUC